rnacentral:rRNA from 1 species
AUGUACAUGCCUACGACAUAGUGUUAAUGCAAUGGAUCCCAUUAGAACUCCACAGUUAAGUGUGCUCAGGAUAGAGUAGUACUGGAAUGGGUGACUACCCAAAAAGUCACAGUGUUUUACAUU